UCUGACGUUUGUAAUUUGAUAUUAAUUUGGACCAUUUUUAGGCUUCCCUCUUGUCUGGAGGAAAAAGGAAAAAGAGAACCAGACUUAGACACAACUUCUUGUGGGCACAUAUUCAGAAGGCAUUUCACUGGAGAGGGUUUAGUUCUCCUUAGCAGAAGAUAAGAUUUCAAGAUUUCAGCUAAGACUCAUCUCUCUGCAAAUCUUUCUUUUGAGAGAAUCUGUUAGAAAAUAUAAAGAAUAAAGGAUAUUAGAGCUAGAAGAACAUUUACAUUCACCUAGUCAAAAGCCUACGUUUGAGUAAAAGAAAUUACUACCAAGAAGCAAAUGAUUUGUACAAGAUCACAGGGCUUUUCAACAGUAAAGCUAAAAAGCAUCUUCACCAGGAGGAGAUUCCAUCUCAAGGGACCAUUUUCACUGCUCAUCUGUGAGAAGCAACUCUUCUUCUGUUCAAGUUUGAUCAUGAGAGUGCGGCAAUUCAGUCACAACUUCACGCUCCACUUCUAGUUCUAGUUCUCUUGCUGUUUCCACCACAUCUACAGCGACUUCCUCCACUGAAGAUGUGAACCCCUGAAAGUCACCUAUGGGGGCUGGAAUCAAUGCCUUUCACACUCCUGUUAAUGUUGGUAUUUUGACCUCCUCCCAUGAAUUACAAAUGUUCCUAAUGGCAUCUAGAAUAAUGACUACUUUCCAGAAGCUUUUCAAUUUGCUUUGCUCAGAUCCAUCAAUGGAAUCACUAUCAAUGGCAGCUAUAUAAACUCUAAAAGGCUA